AACAGCGGAAGCGUUUCCCGUGGAUGAAUGAU
rnacentral:scRNA from 1 species